rnacentral:rRNA from 1 species
UACGGGGGGAGCAAGCGUUGUUCGGAUUUACUGGGCGUAAAGGGCGCGUAGGCGGCCAGCACAAGUCAGUUGUGAAAUCUCCGAGCUUAACUCGGAAAGGUCAACUGAUACUGUGCGGCUAGAGUGCAGAAGGGGCAACUGGAAUUCUUGGUGUAGCGGUGAAAUGCGUAGAUAUCAAGAGGAACACCUGCGGCGAAGGCGGGUUGCUGGGCUGACACUGACGCUGAGGCGCGAAAGCUAGGGGGAGCGAACGGG